rnacentral:rRNA from 1 species
GACGUAGGUGGCGAACGUUAUCCGGAAUUAUUGGGCGUAAAGGGUGCGUAGGUAGCCUGACAAGUUAUCAGUGGCAAAUCGAGGCUCAACCUCGUGGAAACUGGUAAUACUGUUCGGCUUGAGUACAGGAGAGGUUAACGGAACUCUAUGUGGAGCGGUAAAAUGCACAGAUAUAUAGAAGAACAUCAAUAAAGGCGAAGGCAGUUAACUAUUCUGUUACUGACGCUGAGGCACGAAAGCGUGGGGAGCAAAACGG